UUCGCUCCACACAGAUCAAAUAAUCUGAGCAUGUGGCCAUCCGAUAUAGGAUGUAACACCCGUAGUUAUGGUGCUUAGUUAGCAAGGUAACUACAAAUGGUGU
ncrna:unclassified sequences COG3943 RNA